GUGCUAGUCUAGGACAGGUAGAUAGGCUAUGUUACAGUUGGAAAGGUUUUACAAGCCUGAUCAAACCUAGAAACCUAACCAUCAACCACUUGCAUGCAUUGUUUAUGCAUGAACUCAACAGAAAGAUCUUCUCCUAAGAGACUAAGGAGGGUGUAAACUUCGAGUUAUGCUGCAGUCAUUGUGAUAUAUCAGAUCAAGGUCCAUUCCCUUCAUCACAGGCUUCAUCCAUCGACCACUCAGAUUUCAACACAAAACUAUUUGUAGAUCAUCCAUCGCAAUGAUCC
rnacentral:lncRNA from 1 species